CUUCUACAUCCUGCCAUGGUUCAUCUUUGUGCUGUAGCUGGAACUGGUGUUGACGUGAUGAUAAGCAAGUGAAGGGUCGUCACGGCAGCAAUCCAGCCGACAAAUGUCGGAUGUUUUCACCUCAUGGCAAACUGCUGUUAUCCAUGCUUGGAUAGAAGACCCGUACGUGGAGAUGUGUCUUGCCUUUCCAUGCAGCUGGAACAAAUAACGAUGUCAUCAGUUGUGGGGAAAAGUCUUCAUUUUAAUGAAGUACUUCAAGCCGUUCCAUCCCAUCGUCCAGCAUGUGUUAGUGAAGGUUUCGACUUCAGGUGAGACGCCAUGAUUGCAUCAGAC